rnacentral:rRNA from 1 species
GAUUAACGCUGGCGGCGUGCAUAACACAUGCAAGUCGAACGAUGAAACUUUUUUGAUUUCUUCGGAAUGAUUAAAAGUGGAUUAAUGGCGGACGGGUGAGUAACGCGUGAGUAACCUGCCUUAGAGAAGGGGAUAGCCUUCGGAAACGAAGAAUAAUACCCUAUGAAACGAUAGCCUCGCAUGAGGAAUUGGUCAAAGAUUUAUCGCUCUAAGAUGGACUUGCGUGUGAGUAGCUAGUUGGUGGGGUAACGGCUCACCAAGACAGCUAUCAGUCGCAGGCUGGAGAGGGUGUACGGCCAAAUUGGGACUGGGACACGGCCCAGACGCCUACGGGAGGCAGCAGUGGGGAAUUUUGCACAAAGGGCGAAACCCUGAUGCAGCGACGCCGCGUGAUUGAGAAGGCCUUCGGGUUGUAAAAAUCUUUUCUAUGGGAAGAAAAUGACAGUACCAGAGGAAUAAGGACCGGCUAAUUACGUG